AGAGUUUGAUCAUGGCUCAGAACGUACGCUGGCGGCACGCCUAACACAUGCAAGUCGAACGAAGUAGCAAUACUUAGUGGCAGACGGGUGAGUAACAUGUAGGUAUCUACCCUUUGGCCUGGAAUAACACGAGGAAACUUGUGCUAAUACCGGAUAAGUCUUUACGGAGAAAGCUUUAUGCACCAUUGGAUGAGCCUGCACUUGAUUAGUUUGUUGGUAAGGUAAUGGCUUACCAAGACUAUGAUCAAUAGCUGAUUUGAGAGGAUGAUCAGCCACAUUGGGACUGAGACACGGCCCAAACUCCUACGGGAGGCAGCAGUGGGGAAUCUUGCACAAUGGAGGAAACUCUGAUGCAGCGAUGCCGCGUGAGUGAAGAAGGCCUUUGGGUUGUAAAGCUCUUUCGUCGGGGAAGAAAAUGACUGUACCCGAAUAAGAAGGUCCGGCUAACUUCGUGCCAGCCGCCGCGGUAAUACA
rnacentral:rRNA from 1 species